GACGAACGCUGGCGGCGUGCCUAAUACAUGCAAGUCGAACGCUUUUUCUUUCACCGGAGCUUGCUCCACCGAAAGAAAAAGAGUGGCGAACGGGUGAGUAACACGUGGGUAACCUGCCCAUCAGAAGGGGAUAACACUUGGAAACAGGUGCUAAUACCGUAUAACACUAUUUUCCGCAUGGAAGAAAGUUGAAAGGCGCUUUUGCGUCACUGAUGGAUGGACCCGCGGUGCAUUAGCUAGUUGGUGAGGUAACGGCUCACCAAGGCAACGAUGCAUAGCCGACCUGAGAGGGUGAUCGGCCACACUGGGACUGAGACACGGCCCAGACUCCUACGGGAGGCAGCAGUAGGGAACCUUCGGCAAUGGACGAAAGUCUGACCGAGCAACGCCGCGUGAGUGAAGAAGGUUUUCGGAUCGUAAAACUCUGUUGUUAGAGAAGAACAAGGAUGAGAGUAAAAUGUUCAUCCCUUGACGGUAUCUAACCAGAAAGCCACGGCUAACUACGUGCCAGCAGCCGCCGUAA
rnacentral:rRNA from 1 species